rnacentral:rRNA from 1 species
GACAGGAGGGUGCAACGUUGUUCGGAAUUACUGGGCGUAAAGCGCGUGUAGGCGGUCUCGCAAGUCGGAUGUGAAAGCCCAGGGCUCAACCCUGGAAGUGCACUCGAUACUGCGAGGCUAGAGUCCCGGAGAGGAUGGUGGAACUCUCGGUGUAGAGGUGAAAUUCGUAGAUAUCGAGAAGAACACCGGUGGCGAAGGCGGCCAUCUGGACGGUGACUGACGCUGAGACGCGAAAGCGUGGGGAGCAAACAGG